UACGGAGGGUGCAAGCGUUAUCCGGAUUCACUGGGCUUAAAGGGUGCGUAGGUGGCGCGUUAAGUCCGUUGUGAAAUCCCUGGGCUCAACCCAGGAAUUGCUUCGGAUACUGGCGUGCUUGAGGCUAGUAGGGGUCACUGGAACUGACGGUGGAGCGGUGAAAUGCGUAGAUAUCGUCAGGAACGCCGAUGGUGAAGACAGGUGACUGGGCUAGUUCUGACACUGAGGCGCGAAAGCGUGGGGAGCGAACGGG
rnacentral:rRNA from 1 species